AGAAAAAUUGCACAACUGUGAUGUUUGCAUCACAGUACUUUUGGACUUCAGCUUUAACAGGUUAUUCAAAUUCAUUAAAAAGAUUUCUGAAUGUCUAUAAAGACAAUCACAAUUGGAAAAUUGAUCAAUGAAGGAUCUUUGAAGAUUUUAAUCUCUACUUUCUGUGCUUUUAAGUUAUAAUAAGCAUAAAGUAAAAAAUGAACAGUUAGUGUGUUCUGCUACAGCAGGAAUAGCAAUGAAAUGGAAAAACUAAAUUUGUUAAAUGUAUCAGAUUGGACUUGCUCUCUGUUGGUACAGAGGUUUAUCACAAAAUUCAGAUGAAGCCAAUGUGGAUUAUAAUUGUUCACCUGUGAGAGCUUUCAAUGUAAGAUAAGGAUUUUAUUUCUUCCUCCUAAUGCAUUCCAUGCAGUAAUUGAUGGCAGCUGAGAUAUGGAUACAUCUCUCAAAUAGACUUCCUGUGAGGGCAUUUUUUUCUUUAAGUUACUUUUUAGGUUGCUCUGACAAACUUUGUUCAAAUCCAGUUAACAGACAGUUACAAGAUGGUGUACAAUUCAGAUGUCUAUGUUAAAACUAGUGCUGAAUUCCUGGUUACUCUUUGUUUCCAGAGUUUGUGUUGUACCAAAACCCAUUAACAGUUAUUUCAAACUCCUUUAAGGUUGGGAAAAUAUCAUAUUAUGUACACAUGACUGAUUGAAUAUUUUCAGAUAUGAGUUGCUGUAUAUAGCUAUGCUUAAAGGUAGUUGGAACCUGUUUUUUCAUGUUUUCAUAUUACAUAGGUAAUAACAGACAUAAUAAUAUUUAUUUAUUAAAUAAUAAUAAUUAUUCUUCUGGGAAUUUUUAGAUUUUCGGCUGACAAAAGUUGAAAAGUAAAAUUAGGUUUUAGAAGUGACUUAAUUCCAUUCAAAGCAAAAAUUUAAGUACAAAGGAGAUUUAAAAAUGAAAGCUACACUCGCAGUCUAUCUGAAAGUACACCUGCCUACAGUAGUGUCACCAAAGCUGUAGGUUCAAUUUGGCAAAAAAGAAAGUACAAAAAUAUGUCUGAAGUUCCUAUGAUCAUGAAGGAAGUGGAUAAAAGAAAUGUGGAACUGUUGCUUGCCAAAUCUCACAGUACUAAAAUGAGAUGGCGUUCAAUUAAGGUAGUUGGAGGUGAAUUUAAAACAGACAAGUGAAGUGCUGCCUUAUGCAGUACGCAUCGAACUCUUGGAAUUUACUCAACAUUCUGUAGUCAAGUAGUACAAGUGGGUUCCAAAAAGAAUUGUCAUAACCAAAGUAAUUACUUAAUAAGAACAGAAGCAGGCAAGUGUGUUUUUUCUAACAUUCCUCACCCAACACUUGUAGGUGCUGUGGAAGUGUGCUGGGAGAAACUGGCUGAAUGUGUGUUCUCCCUACAUAGCAUUUCCUUUUGCUACUUGAAGAGCUCUGCUAUGUGGAUCUUUUGCCUGACUUAUCAGUAUUUACAUAUAAAACCUUCAAUUUUUCUCACCAAAAUAUUUUUUUUUACUUGUGCUUGCUGGCAAUCUCAUGGGAGCUUAAAACGAAUGUGAAAUACAAAGUAAUUUCUAAAUAACUUUCAAUUUUUUUGGGGUGUGUAUUAAUUUUUGCUUUUUAUAGGCAUUUGGAACAUCAAUAUGCAGUUCUUGCCAGUGUAUACUAAUGAAAAUGUCAGAUAUUUACCAUAAAAUAAAACUAUCUCAUGACUAUUGCUUUGACUGCUUUUGAGUGCUUGCCAGAGAUUAGACUGUGGAUAUAAUUCUGUUUUAAUAACUUCAUGUUGGGUAGCCCUGCAUUCUAGUUUAUCCAGAUUUGUGCCAGAACAAAUCAAAUAUGAAAUCUCUGUCUUCUUUAUUUUGGAAUUCUGAAUGUAAUAUAGCUUAUGGAUAUUUUAAGAGAGUAUGUUCCGUGUGCUGUCAUCAACUAUAAUCUCUUCUUCCUUCUGUUCAGUGUAUCAGUGCAUGUUCCUCAGUGACAAGCAUGUUUUUUCUGGAAGAUGUUACUCCUUACAUCCCACUUAGAGGAAUACAAAACAGAGAGCUCAGAAGUGCAAUUUUUAAAAAUUUAAUAUUAUUUGAACCAUUCUUCAGAUGACCUUAAUUUUCAAUAAGUCAAUAAUGCCUUGCAGGAUAUUUGCUAUGUUACUCAUAGCCAAUGCUUGCUUGGUUUAUACUGAUAGAAACAGCAGAAUGCCAAUAUAUUCAUACAGAGGUCUGUAAGUCUCAAUAUUCACUUAUUUGGGCUAGAAACUGUCAAAGUGCUGUCAUUUCUGAAUGUUCAGGUACAGCACAGCUUUCUGUCUAUGGAUAUAUACCUGUGUAUACAAGCAUACUAAUAAAUUGGAAUAUUGAAUGUUGAAACCAAAAAGAAAUUGGUUUUAAAUGAAAAUAGUCCUGAGAGAUGUAAUAUUUUGUGUAGAAGGGAGUCCUGGUUCAUUUUUAAAAACAUUCUGUAAUAUUACCAUGAACAUUUCUUAUUUGUGUAUAAGUUUACUAGCCCAAGUAUGAAUGUCCUUUUUUUAUUUGUUUUAUUUAGUUUUAUUUAGGUUUCAGACUACCACCAUAAGAGGAAAAAUCUGAAAAGUUACAUUAAGAUUGUGUAUCAGGGUCUUGGCAGUGGGGAGGCUACAGGGCUGGCUUCUGUGAGAAGCUGCUGGAAGCUUCCCUCAAUUACAGCAGCACCAGUGCCAGCCUGGCUCCAGGAUGGACCUGCCACUGCCACUGCCUUUGUCCUGCCAACAACUGAGCCCAUCAGUGAUGGUGGUAGUGCCUCUAGGAUGACAGAUUAAAAAAGUUAAAAAAAAAAGGAAUAACAGAUUUAAGAAGGGGAAAAAACUGCUGUAAAAAGGUAGGAGAAAGGACUGAGAAUACAUGAGAGAAGCAACCACAGAUAGCAGGGUCACUGGAGAAAUUGGGAGGAAAAGGGUUCCAGGCACUGCCACAAGUUCCCAUGCAGCUCAUGGUGCAGCCCAGAGAGGUUAAUGUUGGAGCAGAGAUCCGCCUGCAGCAUCUGGAGGACCCCAUGCCAGAGCAGGUGGAUACCCAAAGGAGGCUGUGAGCUGUGGAAGCCUGUAUUGGAGCAGGCUCCUGGUAGGACCUAUGGACCCAUGGAGACAGGACCCCAUGUUGGAACGCAUUUGUUGGCAGGACUUGUUAUCCAAGGGUGACCCAUGCUAGAGCAGCCUGUGCCUGAAGGACUGCACUCCAUGGAAGAGACUCAUGGUGGAGCAGUUAGCGAAGAACUGCAACCUGUGGGAAGGACUCAUGUUGGAAAGGUUUGUGGAGGACUGUCUCUUAUGGGAUGGGCCUCAUGUUGGAGCAGGGAAAGAGAGUGAGGAGUCCUCUCCCUGAGGAAGGAGUGACAGAAAUAGUGUGUGAUGAAUUGACUGUAACCCCUACUCCCUGUCCCCCUACUCUGCUGGCACAAGAUAAGGAAAAACAGUAUUUAUGCCUGGAAAGAAAAGAGGAGUAGGGGAAAGGUGUUUUAAGGUUUGGUUUUAUUUCUAAUUACUUUGAUCUGAUUUGUAAUGAAUUAAACUAAGUUCCCUGUGUCAACUCUAUUUUGCCUGUGACAGUAACAGCUACCUGACCUCCUUUGUCCUUAUCUUGACCACAAGCCUUUUGUCAUGUUUUUCUCCCCCUCUCCAGCUGAGGAGGGGAGUGACAGAGCAACUGGAUGGGCACCUGGAAACCAGCCAGGGUCAACCACCUCAAAAGGCCAUCUGUCUUUUUAUGUCCCUGGUUGUUAAACCAAAUACUAACUAUUUAAGGAGAAGAAAAAAAACCCUUAUAAAAGGUUGUGUGGGACAUUCUAAAGAAGUGAAAACUUUUGUGGCUAUUGUAAGCAGAUAAAAUAGGAGAAAUUCAAAUCUAAAUGACUAAAGCAAAAGAAGCAGUGCUCUGCAGCGCGGUGUUCUGGCCUGCACUUAGACCGUGUGACCACGAGAUGUCAUAGCCCAGCUGCGGGUGUGGAGCUCGGCUUCACCCCACCGACUGCUUUCGUUGCCCCUGUUCGCGAGGAGCAUCACACGCCACCCUCUCCCAGUAUUGUCUUCGGAAAAGUAUUCGUUUCCUA